rnacentral:lncRNA from 10 species
UAACUAGCAAAGAGACCUUGUUUCAACAUCAAAUAUGUUUCCGUAAGGCCAGAUUCUUGGGCAAAGUUGUUUUAGCGAUCUGGUUGCAACUAAGGUAAACGUUUAUCAUGCAAAUAUUGCUCUCUCCUUGGCGAUACCUUGUUGGUAGAAGUAGAAUUUAAAAUAUAUUAUUGCCAUUUGCCAGCUGACCUGUGACACAGCAGCAGUGUAUUACAUUUUCAAUGAGCAGUCUGUCUGGAGCUGCUAGUGGGAGAAACUGCUUCCUGGUUUCUAGGGGAGGCAGAUGAUGAAUAAAUGAACAAAAAAUAUAAUAAUGGAUAUGUAUUUAUAAGUGCUAUGAAGAGAAGAAAUCCAAGCAAGAAGAGAGUGAAAUGAGGUAUCCUGUAAGAACAAAUUGCUGCCUCCUCCAGGUGGAAAGGGAUCAAAUAUAAUUAAUCUGUGUGUGCCACACAGUAGCUUGAUAGUUUAAUUGAGGAAUGUUGACAUAUUGAGAGCUCAGCAUUACUUUCUGCUAUCAGCAGUGACGGCAUAAGAGCUGUAUCCUAACUGCACUGCUGAAUUUGGGCUUCCUGUGGGGGCACGGCAAGUGCCCUCUUUGAGAGUGAGGAGGCUGAGAGUCUCACACCAACAGGAAUGAGUGCUUUGAAAUUAACUGGUGUUUGGAAAUUGAUCUGCUGACUGAGCUGGGCUCUCAAGCUCUUCUCGACAACCAUGUAAGAAGCGAUGACAAUUGUACUACUUCAUAACAGCUGCAUGGAACUCUGACACACACUUCACAGCAACCAGUCAUCUAUAUAAACCAAUUUCAGGAGCAAAAUUGCAUGGUGCCUCCACUCUGUUAUAAACACAAUGAUAUCCACUCAAAGCUGAUAAAUGCACUACAUUUCUCUGCAGCUUAAAAGAAUAAGUUCCUUGCAUCUGAGAUUUCCUUCCCACAAAUUAAGUCAUUUUUUUUG